rnacentral:rRNA from 1 species
AUUGAACGCUGGCGGCAUGCCUUACACAUGCAAGUCGAACGGCAGCGGGGGAGAAGCUUGCUUUUCCUGCCGGCGAGUGGCGAACGGGUGAGUAAUACAUCGGAACGUGCCCUGUAGUGGGGGAUAACUAGUCGAAAGAUUAGCUAAUACCGCAUACGACCUGAGGGUGAAAGUGGGGGACCGCAAGGCCUCAUGCUAUAGGAGCGGCCGAUGUAGGAUUAGCUAGUUGGUGGGGUAAAGGCCUAACAAGGCGACGAUCAGUAGCUGGUCUGAGAGGACGAUCAGCCACACUGGGACUGAGACACGGCCCAGACUCCUACGGGAGGCAGCAGUGGGGAAGUUUGGACAAUGGGCGAAAGCCUGAUCCAGCAAUGCCGCGUGUGUGAAGAAGGCCUUCGGGUUGUAAAGCACUUUUGUCCGGAAAGAAAUGGCUCUGGUUAAUACCUGGGGUCGAUGACGGUACCGGAAGAAUAAGGACCGGCUAACUACGUGCCAGCAGCCGCCGCGA